rnacentral:rRNA from 1 species
CCUACGGGAGGCUGCAGUGGGGGAUAUUGCACAAUGGGGGAAACCCUGAUGCAGCGACGCCGCGUGUGGGAAGACGGUCCUCUGGAUUGUAAACCACUGUCCACAGGGACGAAGAUGACGUUACUUGGGGAGGAAGCUCCGUCUAACAACGUGCCAGCAGCCGCGGAAAUACGUAGGGAGCGAGCGUUGUCCGGAUUUACUGGGGGUAAAGGGAGCGUAGGCGGGAUGGCAGGUUGGGUGUAAAGUCUACCGGCUCAACCGGGAGCCGCACUUAAAACUGCAGUUCUGGAGUGAAGUAGAGGCAGGCGGAAUUCCUAGUGUAGCGGUGAAAUGCGUAGAUAUUAGGAGGAACACCAGUGGCGAAGGCGGCCUGCUGGGCUGUUACUGACGCUGAGGCUCGAAAGUGUGGGGAGCAAACAGGAUUAGAUACCCUUGUAGUC